AGAUAGAGUUUGAUCCUGGCUCAGGAUGAACGCUAGCGACAGGCUUAACACAUGCAAGUCGAGGGGCAUCGGGGAGUAGCAAUACUCUGCCGGCGACCGGCGCACGGGUGAGUAACGCGUAUGGAACCUGCCCUGUACAGGGGAAUAGCCCAUGGAAACGUGGAUUAAUGUCCCAUAUGACAUUCGGGAGGCAUCUUUCGGGUGUAAAAUUUUCGGAGGUACAGGAUGGCCAUGCGUCCUAUUAGAUAGUUGGCGGGGUAACGGCCCACCAAGUCGAUGAUAGGUAGGGGUUCUGAGAGGAAGGUCCCCCACAUUGGAACUGAGACACGGUCCAAACUCCUACGGGAGGCAGCA
rnacentral:rRNA from 1 species